GAUGAACGCUGGCGGCGUGCCUAAUACAUGCAAGUCGAACGGAGGGUCGCAAGAUCCUUAGUGGCGAACGGGUGAGUAACGCGUUGGUACCUGCCCCAAAGCGGGGGAUACCGGACCGAAAGGUCCGCUAAUACCCCAUGUGCUCAGUGAUGAGGAAAGGUGAAAAUCACUUUGGGAGGGGCCUGCGUCCCAUCAGCUAGUUGGUAAGGUAACGGCUUACCAAGGCGAUGACGGGUAGGGGACCUGAGAGGGUGGCCCCCCACAAUGGAACUGAAACACGGUCCAUACACCUACGGGUGGCAGCAGUAGGGAAUAUUGGUAAUGGGCGAAAGCCUGAACCAGCAACGCCGCGUGUGCGAUGACGGCCUCGGUUGUAAG
rnacentral:rRNA from 1 species